UACGAAGGGGGCUAGCGUUGCUCGGAAUCACUGGGCGUAAAGGGUGCGUAGGCGGGUCUUUAAGUCAGGGGUGAAAUCCUGGAGCUCAACUCCAGAACUGCCUUUGAUACUGAAGAUCUUGAGUUCGGGAGAGGUGAGUGGAACUGCGAGUGUAGAGGUGAAAUUCGUAGAUAUUGCAAGAACACCAGUGGCGAAGGGCGGCUCACCUGGGCCCGAUACUGACGCUGAGGCACGAAA
rnacentral:rRNA from 1 species